GGUGAGAUGGCCGAGUGGUCUAAGGCGCUAGAUUUAGGUCGUUCGGACUCUAAUCUCUAGUCAUUCGUGGCGUGGGUUCAAAUCCCACUCUCAUCA
rfam:Lentinula edodes NBRC 111202 DNA, contig: scaffold2.